AUGGCGAAGCAGCUUGCCGUGCACGCUCUCCUGCUGGUGGUCUUGCUCCUCGCGCUCUCGUCCGUUCACGCUGGCAGCAACUCGACGGCCUCGGCCGGACCACUGUAUGGCAUCGAGUUCCCGCCGUACAACACGGCCGUCGCCGACGCCGGCUGCGACGGCAGGCUGGUGGCCGAGGAGGCGGAGCUCGCGCGCCAGCCACCCUCCCUCAAGCUCCACAUGACCCACCGCUCCGCCGCCGAGGACACCGCGGGGAAAGCCUCCUUCUUCCUCGACUCGGCCGAGAAGGACGCGGCCCGCAUCGGCACGAUGCACGGCAGGAGGGCCGCGCUGGCCAGGAAGGGCUCGCGGCCGCGGCGGGCGCUGUCGGAGAGGGUGGUGGCCACGGUGGGGUCGGGCGUGGCGGUCGGCUCCGGGGAGUACCUGGUGGACGUGUACGUGGGCACGCCGCCGCGCCGGUUCCGCAUGAUCAUGGACACCGGCAGCGACCUCAACUGGCUGCAGUGCGCUCCCUGCCUCGACUGCUUCCACCAGACCGGCCCCGUCUUCGACCCCGCCGCCUCCGCCUCCUACCGCAACGUCACCUGCGGCGACGCGCGCUGCGGCCUUGUCUCCCCGCCGCCAGAGUCUCCGGCGGCGCCGCCAGGGAGGACGUGCCGCAAGCCGCGAAGCGACCCCUGCCCGUACUACUACUGGUACGGCGACCAGUCCAACACCACGGGGGACCUGGCGCUCGAGGCCUUCACCGUCAACCUCACGGGCGCCGCCGGGACCACCCGGCGCGUGGACGGCGUGGCGUUCGGGUGCGGCCACCGCAACCGCGGCCUCUUCCACGGCGCCGCGGGGCUGCUGGGGCUGGGCCGCGGCCCGCUGUCGUUCGCGUCGCAGCUGCGCGGCGUCUACGGGGGGCACGCCUUCUCGUACUGCCUCGUCGACCACGGCAGCGCGGCCGGGAGCAAGAUCAUCUUCGGCCACGACGACGCGCUGCUCGCGCACCCGCGGCUCAACUACACGGCCUUCGCGCCGGCCGCGGCCGACGCGGCGGACACCUUCUACUACCUCCAGCUCAGGUCCGUCCUCGUGGGCGGGGAGGCGGUGGACAUCCCGUCCGACGCGCUGGCCGCCGGCGGCACCAUCAUCGACUCCGGCACGACGCUGAGCUACUUCCCGGAGCCGGCGUACCGGGCGAUCCGGCAGGCGUUCGUGGACCGCAUGAGCCCGUCCUACCCGCUCAUCGCCGGGUUCCCGGUGCUGAGCCCGUGCUACAAUGUGUCCGGGGCGGAGAGGGUGGAGGUGCCGGAGCUGUCGCUGGUGUUCGCGGACGGCGCGGCGUGGGAGUUCCCGGCGGAGAACUACUUCAUCCGGCUGGAGCCGGAGGGCGUGAUGUGCCUGGCCGUCCUGGGCACGCCGCGCUCCGGCAUGUCCAUCAUCGGCAACUACCAGCAGCAGAACUUCCACGUGCUCUACGACCUCGAGCGCAACCGGCUCGGCUUCGCGCCGCGCCGGUGCGCCGACGUCUAA
rnacentral:rRNA from 1 species